GGGCCCGCACAAGCGGUGGAGCAUGUGGUUUAAUUCGAUGCAACGCGAAGAACCUUACCUACCCUUGACAUCCUCAGAACUUGUUAGAAAUAACUUGGUGCCUUCGGGAAUUGAGUGACAGGUGCUGCAUGGCUGUCGUCAGCUCGUGUCGUGAGAUGUUGGGUUAAGUCCCGUAACGAGCGCAACCCUUAUCCUUAUUUGCCAGCGACUUGGUCGGGAACUUUAAGGAGACUGCCGGUGCUAAGCCGGAGGAAGGUGGGGACGACGUCAAGUCAUCAUGGCCCUUACGGGUAGGGCUACACACGGUGCUACAAUGGGCAGUACAGAGGGCAGCGAAGUCGCGAGACGGAGCCAA
rnacentral:rRNA from 1 species